GACUGAGCAAGAAGGAGAACUUCACUCCAGUGACACUGCUAGUGCAGACAUCAGAGAAGGUUUCAUGGAGGAGGGACACUUGAGCUGAGGCUUGCAGGAAGCUGUGUUCAACAGGGAUUCAAGAAGAGACUCUCAGGCCAAGUCUUGCCUGUCUCCUUUAUGGUCAUGACUCCCUGCUGCUGAAUCCAACCCUUAUCUUCUCUUCUGGUAUCAAAAUUGAUCAUCC
rnacentral:lncRNA from 1 species